AACCAAAGCUGGCGACCGGCGCACGGUGAGUAACACGUAUCCAACCUGCCUCAUACUCGGGGAUAGCCUUUCGAAAGAAAGAUUAAUAUCCGAUAGCAUAUAUUUCCCGCAUGGGUUUUAUAUUAAAGAAAUUCGGUAUGAGAUGGGGAUGCGUUCCAUUAGUUUGUUGGGGGGGUAACGGCCCACCAAGACUACGAUGGAUAGGGGUUCUGAGAGGAAGGUCCCCCACAUUGGAACUGAGACACGGUCCAA
rnacentral:rRNA from 1 species